rnacentral:rRNA from 1 species
CCUACGGGUGGCAGCAGUGAGGAAUAUUGGUCAAUGGGCGGGAGCCUGAACCAGCCAAGUCGCGUGAGGGAAGACGGUCCUAUGGAUUGUAAACCUCUUUAGGCGGGGAGCAAUGCCGGGCACGUGUGCACGGAGGGAGAGUACCCGCAGAAUAAGCCUCGGCUACCUCGGUCCAAGCAGCCGCGGUAAUUCGGAGGAUGCGAGCGUUAUCCGGAUUUUUUGGGUUAAAAGGGUGCGUAGGCGGAUUUUUAAGUCAGCGGUAAAAUGUCCGGGCUCAACACGGGAGGGCCGUUGAAACUGGGGAUCUUGAGUGGGCGAGAAGUAUGCGGAAUGCGUGGUGUAGCGGUGAAAUGCUUAGAUAUCACGCAGAACUCCGAUUGCGAAGGCAGCAUACCGGCGCCCGACUGACGCUGAGGCACGAAAGCGUGGGGAUCGAACAGGAUUAGAUACCCCUGUAGUC